rnacentral:rRNA from 1 species
UACGUAGGUGGCAAGCGUUGUCCGGAAUUAUUGGGCGUAAAGCGCGCGCAGGCGGUCCUUUAAGUCUGAUGUGAAAGCCCCCGGCUCAACCGGGGAGAGUGGUGCCGAACUGGACUUCUUGAGGGCGAUAGAGGAGAGUGGGAUUCCGGGUGUAGCGGUGAAAUGCGUAGAGAUCCGGAGGAACACCAGUGGCGCAGGCGGCUCUCUGGGUCGGCCCUGACGCUCAUGCACGAAAGCGUGGGGAGCAAACAGG